rnacentral:rRNA from 1 species
CUAGCAUAUCAAUAAGCGGAGGAAAAGAAACCAACAGGGAUUGCCUCAGUAACGGCGAGUGAAGCGGCAACAGCUCAAAUUUGAAAUCUGGCUCCUUUGGGGUCCGAGUUGUAAUUUGUAGAGGACGCUUCGGGUGCGGUGCCGGUCGAAGUCCCUUGGAACAGGGUGUCAUAGAGGGUGAGAAUCCCGUACGUGGCCGGCGACCAACCCCAUGUGAAGCUCCUUCGACGAGUCGAGUUGUUUGGGAAUGCAGCUCAAAAUGGGUGGUAAAUUUCAUCUAAAGCUAAAUACCGGCCAGAGACCGAUAGCGCACAAGUAGAGUGAUCGAAAGAUGAAAAGCACUUUGGAAAGAGAGUUAAACAGUACGUGAAAUUGUUGAAAGGGAAGCGCUUGCGACCAGACCUGUCCGUGGGUGCUCAGCGGGGGCUUGUUCCCCGCGCACUCACCCACGAUCAGGCCAGCAUCAGUUCUGGCGACCGGAUAAAGGCCCGGGGAAUGUAGCUCACCUUCGGGCGAGUGUUAUAGCUCCGGGUGGCAUACGGCCAGCCGGGACUGAGGACCGCGCUUCGGCAAGGAUGCUGGCGUAAUGGUUGCAAGCGGCCCGUCUUGAAACACGGACCAAGGAGUCUAACAUCUAUGCGAGUGUUUGGGUGUCAAACCCAUGCGCGCAAUGAAAGUGAAUGGAGGUCGGAGCCCAUCAGGGUGCACGAUCGACCGAUCUUGAAGUUUACGGAUGGAUUUGAGUAUGAGCAUAGCUGUUGGGACCCGAAAGAUGGUGAACUAUGCCUGAAUAGGGUGAAGCCAGAGGAAACUCUGGUGGAGGCUCGCAGCGGUUCUGACGUGCAAAUCGAUCGUCAAAUUUGGGUAUAGGGGCGAAAGACUAAUCGAACCAUCUAGUAGCUGGUUCCUGCCGAAUC